UGUUAUGUGAAUGGGGAAAACAGAGCAAACUAGAACAGAGAGCACAGAGUAAUCUGAAUGGGGAGGAUAAAAUUCUGAUGGUACACUUCAUCUGUGACAAACUCUUGAUCUAAACAUAACCAUCAUAAGAAAUUAUGAAAUUCUGUCUAAACCGGAUUACCGGUCCGACCCAAAUGAAAAUGGAAAAUUUUACACUAUGGAAAAUGAGAUCCAUUUUUCCUUUUGGAUGGUUGGAUGGAGUGAGGGAAGUAAGGUUGGAUGCAGUGAGGGAAGGAAGGGGAAGGGUAACCAAUUAUAGUGCAACGAUUUAAUAUAUGGAAAUUUGAGAAAAUUAUUUUACUUUUAUUUUUUUCACUUUAGUUUAAAUUAGAAAAAUAUAUAUUGUAAAUAGGUAAAAUAGGGAUGGUAUUCAAAUGAAUUCUAUUAAGAUAAAAUAUGGAUAAAUUCGAGUUUAAAAUCGGGUUUAUGUAUUGGGUUGUCCAGAAUUGGUUUAUACAAAUAAAUAAUUAUUUACAUUUUAUAUAAUAUUAUAUAUUAUAUGUCAUAUAUUAUAUAUGAUAAUAUGAGAUCAAGAAAAUCUAUUAUCAAGAAAAUAGGGUUUACUGUAAGCUUAGUCUGAGAGGAUGUUUUUCCCUUUUAUUUUUUUUCUAAGCUUAGUAUGAGAGGAAAAUGCAACUCCCUUUUAUUCUUUUCCUUUGUUUGUUAGUGACGUAUAAUGGUCUCACUGCUAGGUGUCUCACUGCUAGGUCACCUGUCUCUACUAUACGAAUACGGACGUACGAAUAUAUUAGAUCUCUACUUUAUGCGUAACGACUAUUUAAUUUUUCUCUGGCACGCAUGUUGGGGGACCCACCAG
rnacentral:lncRNA from 1 species